AAGACAGAGAAGCCAGGUCACGUCUCUGCAGUUACACAGCUCACGAGUGCCUGCUGGGGUGGAACCUGGUCUGUCUGUCU
ensembl:miRNA